ACUCAUUUAGGUUGUACUACAUCUACACGCUGAGGACCAUAAUGGGUCUAAUUGUGUUUUUGUCCACCUUCGUUACUACAUUCUUAUCUACUGCAAUUGAUCGAUCAAUGUGUGCUUGUACCAUACAAUCAGAUACGGUGAUGUACAUGCACUGCGUAAUAAUAAUUUUAUAACCCAGUUUUCCAAAAGUCUGAAUGUCUCGGAGACUUCAGUAAGUCGAUAAACCAGGAACAGAAGGAACACUGUGAUCAACAGCUUUAUUUAGAAAACAUACAUCGUCCAAUAGGUGUAGAAAUGAAUGUUGUGAAGAUCUUGACCGUGGUUGUCACACAUAAAUAUAACCUGAAUCUGUCCAAGUCACAGCCCUGUAAAGUCCAUAAAGCU